AUGAACGCUAGCGACAGGCCUAACACAUGCAAGGUCAGGGGCAGCACAAGGAGCAAUCUGAGGUGGCGACCGGCGCACGGGUGAGUAACACGUAUGCAACCUGCCUGUAAGCGGGGAAUAACCCGUUGAAAGACGGACUAAUACCGCAUAAUACUAAAUUACUGCAUGGUAAUUUAUUUAAACAUUUAUGGCUUACAGAUGGGCAUGCGCAUGAUUAGCUAGUUGGAGAGGUAACGGCUCCCCAAGGCAACGAUCAUUAGGGGUUCUGAGAGGAAGGUCCCCCCACACUGGUACUGAGACACGGACCAGACUCCUACGGGAGGCAGCAGUGAGGAAUAUUGGUCAAUGGACGAGAGUCUGAACCAGCCAAGUCGCGUGCAGGAAGAAUGUCCUAUGGAUUGUAAACUGCUUUUGCAGGGGAAUAAAGUGCAUCACGUGUGAUGUUUUGUAUGUACUCUGCGAAUAAGGAUCGGCUAACUCCGUGCCAGCCGCCGC
rnacentral:rRNA from 1 species